ensembl:lncRNA
GAUUUAGAAGCGUUCAAUUGAUUAUUGAGCCACGCUGCGCCCUCUGUCGGUAUGAAGUUGCUACUUCAUCGCUUGAGUUUUUAUUGUCUCUUCCAGGUGUUUGAAUAUUUUGUCUUCAAUGCCGCUGACAGACCGACAGCUUUGACUUCAGCCUUUAGCAGCCAUUAGACUCAUCAUUUCUCCAAAUAUUUAUACGUCUAUCAAUCCCACAGGUGUCCGAGGGUGAUGCGGAGCGUGUGUGUGAGCCGUGGUUUGGCGACCCGACCCGAGCGCUUGUGACGGGGGUCAUGGGACUGCUGCUGCCCCCUGUCCGUCUCUCAGUCCACCCCGCUGCCUCCAGAGGCCCCAGGGUCCUACGCUCCCUAAGGUUCCAGCCCAGUCCUGAAAACAGCACAGCCGGUGGUGAUUUUCGGUCUUGCUUCUGAGGAUAAUGUCUGAAUCUUCUCUGGACACCAGAAGUUGUGACGUUAUGAAGGUUCUGGAGAGUGACGGGCCACACGUGGCCGGACCGCCCCCGACCCUCAAUGACCCCCAACACGCGCCCCAGAACAACGGCACACACGCCCAGGAGUGUGUGACAGACCAAAGUUCCCCCCAUCAAACUCAGCUCGUCCAAUCAGCACAGACUAUUAAACGGUCCAAGUCCAACGGCAAGUUAAAGUUAGUCCGCAGCUUGGCGGUGUGUGAGGAGCCGUCUCCGCCUCCGCUCCGAGAACUGACGCACGAACAGGAAGAGAUUCAUAUCGAGCUCAGUCAGUCUUUCGAAAAAGACGAAACGUCCAUCAGAUAUGAGGACAGUGAGAAAAUCUCAGAAAAGCCAGAGAAAACAGACCCGCUGUCCAAGAAGACGCUCUCAAGAGAUCCCAGUCAGGACUACACCGACUCCACAGGAGUGAACCUCCACGAGUUUCUGGUCAACACGCUGAAGAACAACCCCCGGGACAGAAUGAUGCUGCUGAAACUCGAGCAAGAUAUUCUGGACUUCAUUAGUAACAUCGAAAGUCAGAAGCGGAAGUUCCCCCCGAUGACAUCAUACCACAGGAUGCUCCUUCACAGGGUGGCGGCGUAUUUUGGGCUGGACCAUAAUGUCGAUCAGACCGGGAAAUCAGUCAUUAUCAACAAAACCAGCAAUACUAGAAUACCGGAUCAGAAGUUUUCUUAA